rnacentral:rRNA from 1 species
UACAGAGGGGGCAAGCGUUGUUCGGAAUUACUGGGCGUAAAGGGCGCGUAGGCGGCCUUCUAAGUCGAACGUGAAAUCCCCGGGCUCAACCCGGGAACUGCGUCCGAUACUGGAAGGCUUGAAUCCGGGAGAGGGAUGCGGAAUUCCAGGUGUAGCGGUGAAAUGCGUAGAUAUCGCUUGGAACGCCAACGGUGAAAACAGACUGCUGGGGGUGUGCUGACGCUGAGACACGAAAGCCAGGGGAGCGAACGGG